UACGUAGGGUGCGAGCGUUAAUCGGAAUUACUGGGCGUAAAGUGUGCGCAGGCGGCCAUGCAAGUCGAGUGUGAAAGCCCCGGGCUUAACUUGGGAAUUGCGCUCGAAACUACGUGGCUGGAGUGUGGCAGAGGAAGGUGGAAUUCCACGUGUAGCGGUGAAAUGCGUAGAUAUCAGGAGGAAUACCGAUGGCGAAGGCAGGUCUCUGGGCUGACACUGACGCUCAUGCACGAAAGCGUGGGGAGCAAACAGG
rnacentral:rRNA from 1 species